CUGUUGCAACCUCUGGGAUGAGCUGAGAGACUAACGGUGAAGUACUGAAACGGAGGGCUGGGGACUGAAUCCAGUCUCGCACAUGCUUGGGAAGUGCUCCACCGCUGUUAUAUCCCCAGCCCCAAUUCUUCUCGUGUGCAUCUGUAUUUUUUCCUUCCUUUCCUCAUUUUUCAUUUUGGUGUGUGUCUUCAUGUUGCUGCCUUGUAAGAGUUGUUUUUGUUUGUUUUCAAGAAAAGGGAUUGAAUCCAGAAGUCUGCUACUGCCAGCUCAUUUCCCUUCUCUGGGAAGUGUCCCUGCUGUCCUGCAAGGUUACCCACCCCUGACAAAGAUCCUGGCGGGAUUCUUUGGGAAGCUGCUGGGACAGGAGUUGGACCAACUUGAGAACGUGCUGGUGACCGUGGGUGCCUACGGGGCCCUGUUCACAGCCUUCCAGGCCCUGGUGGACGAAGGAGACGAGGUCAUCAUCAUUGAACCUUUUUUUGACUGUUAUGAGCCCAUGACAUUGAUGGCUGGGGGUCGCCCUGUGUUUGUGUCCCUGAAGCCGGUAAGGAUGCCAUGUGGGGUGUGGGCCCAGGAACCCACGGACUGGGUGGGA